GAAAAAUUUUCCGUGUCCUUUGAUGCUGGAUGGCAGACCAGAGGUAGCGGUCGAAACUAUGCAAGUUUGUCAGGGCAUGCGAGUAUGAUUGGAGAGAAGACAGGAAAAAUUCUUUCAUAUGCUGUUCGGUGCAAGAAAUGCAGAUUCUGUGAUAAAGCACCAGUAUCAGCAGAACUGAAUAAACAUGAUAGUAGAAGAAAUUGGGAAAAAUCCUCAAAAGCAAUGGAACCAGAUAUGGCUUUAGAAAUGUUGCAUGACUUAAAAGCGCGUGACUUCCAUUUAAAACAUCUUAUAAUGGAUAAUGACUCAACAACCUUAGCCAAGGCAAAAAUGUCAUUUGAUCCAAAUGUUCAAAAAAUUUCGGAUUUUAAUCAUACAAAAAAAAUCUGGCAAGUAAACUAUAUGACAUCAAGAAGGAGAAAAAGUAUCCUCUUCUAGGUCCAAAACCCAUUCAACAUUUUCUAAAAUGUUUUUCGUAUGCUGUGAAAUCCAACGAAGACACAGACACUUUAAAGAGAAAUUUAGAGUUAUUCCUCUCCAUGUAUUUGAAAACCACAAGAAAUGUGAAAAAAAGUGGUGUAAAUAUCUACAGGACCCAGACAAUUAUAAACCCAUAAAUUUUCCAUAUGGAAAAUAUCUUUCUGGGGUGGAUUUACUCAAAGAUUUACAGCAUCUGUUCAGUGAUUUAGCUAAAAAUGCAAGUAAACUUUCCAAUAUUGGAAGCACUCAGGCAUAUGAAAACUUCAACAAAAUAGUGGCCUGCAAAAAUCCGAAUGCAUUAUAUUACAGUGGAUCUGAGAGCACAUCCUUUAGAGUAGCAGCUGCUGUUGCACAUCAGAAUAUUGGACAUCUGACAAUUGGAAAGGUUUACGAUACUUUGAUGCUCUCGCCAGGGAUGCACACAAAUGUACAUGAAAAGGAGUGUUUCUCUAAAGAGAGAAAAAGAAAAUUGCGACAAAGCACUGUUGAGUGCAAGAGACGAAGACAUGAACUAAAGAAAUUGAAAUCAAGCCAAAUAUCAACUUCAGAAAUAAAAGAAGGAACAACCUAUGAAUCAGGUGUUGGAUUGUCUUGCUGUAAUAGAAGAAAUCCCAGAUUGCACUCCUGCUUCCAAACCUGUUUCAGUGCCUACCCAUACAGACUCAAACCUUCUUAA